UGUAAUUUUAUGAGGUCCCAUUUGUCAAUUCUUGAUCUCUUGCUUGAAAGAACCCAGACAAGUGGACCAAUGGAAUAGAAUUGAAGAUCCAAAAAUGAAUCCACACACCUAUGGUCACUUGAUCUUCGACAAAGGAUCCACCAGUGGAAAAAAGAUAGCCUUUUCAACAAAUGGUGCUGGAUCAAUUGGAGGUCAGCAUGCAGAAGAAUGUGAAUUGAUCCAUUCUUAUCUCCAUGUACUAAACUUCACUCCAAGCGGAUCAAGGACCUCCAUGUAAAACCAGACACACUGAAACUAAUAGAAAAGAAACUGGGGAAGACCCUUGGGGACAUGGGCACAGGGGAAAAGUUCCUGAACAGAUCUCCAGUUGGUUUCUUAAGAACAUUUGCUUGGAAAAUUAAUUUCAAGCCUUUUACUCAGAAGUAGUGUCUGUCUUUGUGCCUGAGAUAUAACUGAGGAGGUUGUUUUCCCACUGGCCAAAUCUCAUGGCAAAAAGAAGAAGACUUGAUAUUAUUCCUGUUCAGACCAACAUUAUGUUAGCAGGAUCAUUAGCUUGGAACACAUGCGCAACAACACAAGAAAUCUGUGAAUUUCUCUUCCCAGCUUACCUUUGCUUCUCCUGCAUGUGAUACACACAAAUGGUACAAAGAGCUGAAGUUGUGUAGAAGUGAUAGUCAGGACAUCUACAGUGAUUUUUGAGGCUGGGUUCAAUAUUUCCAAAUGAAAGAACAUUAUCUCCUUGAUUCCCCAUCUGCUAAUAUACAGAACAUACCUGGUAAAGAUGGCUCUCCUCUCACAUAAAACUCAAGUAAAUCAGGUCAAGCCCUUGUUAUUAUGAAAACAGUAGUAUUGACAGCUGUGUUAAGGUAUAUUUGGACUCAUACUGUUCUUCCUUAUUCUCACUGCUUUAUUUGACUGAUAUCAAUGAUCCCAGUACCUUCCCUGUGCUAGAUAUUCAUUCUGUGGCAGCCCAUGAUUGUUUCCUAUGUGAACAGCCUGCCAAACAGUAGAUACAAAAAGACACUGAAAGGUACUGUCCUGUUUUUUAUGGCCCUAGGAAGGUUCAAAACACUUUGAAUAUAGAAAAAUCUUAUUUAUAAUUAUUUUUACAAACACAGUUUUAGGAAUUUAUAAAAUAUUUAAGGAAAUAAAAAGUGUACUUUCAUUAAAGGAAACUUAGAAGUGUCAUUUAGGGUAAACUUGUGUAGAAUCUACUUUAAUGCUUAAUUAAAUGUUAAAAUUCUCCACAGUACCCAUUUAUUGCUAAAUAAUUUCUGGAAGUUAAACUUACACUCAAAUAUGUGUGUGCAUAUUCUAUACACAUGUAUGAUGCAUGUUAACUAAGAAACUUUUUCUUUUGCUUUGUGUUUUUGCUUUUUGAGAUAGGAUUUUGCUAUAUAGCCCAGGUUAGCUUCAAACUCUUAAUCUUCUUCUAUUCUCUCCUGAGUGCAGAAAUUUGAUCAUGAAUCACCACAGGCAACAUGAAAACUCACCUUUCCAGUGACAGAUUUUCUUGUCACUCAACCACCAUGCAAUGUUCUGUCUGUUGUUUUCUUUAAGAAAUAUAUGUAUUUUUAUUAUCUUUUCUCUAUCUGGAAUAUUAUCAAAUACACACUGAAUUUAAUGUGUCAAAAUUCUUGACCCAUAAAAGGUUACCCCUGUUCCA